GUCUAUGGACAUGCUACCCUGAACAAGCCUGAUGUCUGAUCUCGGAAGCUAAGCAGGGCUGGUUAGUACUUGGAUGGGAGACCACCUAGGAAGACCAGGUGCCGUAGGUG
rnacentral:rRNA from 1 species